rnacentral:lncRNA from 1 species
AACUUCGGGAGGCGCGGACCGCCCGGCCCCGUGCGCCCCUCUCUUCCCUCGGCCUCAGCGCUGCUCCGUCCUCAGCCCGGAGUGAGCAGAGAGCGGACCCCGCGGUGGCGCACGGCCAGGCUGCUUCCCGUGGCCUGGGAGCGGCUGAGCUACUCUGGGCCAAGCCGGCAAAACAGUGUGCCCUUCGCCGGCCUGCGGAGCCCGCGAGGACCCCGCAGGCCGAGUGCCGCCAGCUGGGACCCCCCCCGGGCCGCUUUGAGGCCACUGGCUGAGACCCGGGCCCAGCGCCCCGCAGCGUCCGCCCUCGGCCCGCGGGGUUCUCCCUCACGCGGACCUGCCACGUGGCCUGGACGGAGGCCGUUCGGCCUGGGCAUCAGGAUGAAGCCUGGUCCUGGGUCUACACUGGGGCGGGCCCUGUCCCUGGUGAGCAGAGCCACAGCUCCCUGGUCUGCAGCUGUGAGGAUGCUCCAGGCCUAGGGACUCGGACAGCACCAGGAAGUCUCGCCUGGGAUUAGCGACAGUGUGACCCGCGAGAGUAAUUACUGCUUACCCGCUCCGAAAUUACCAGCUUCGGUUCUCUGACCUGCCCGGGGCUUCUUCCUGUCCACGCCCCUCCCUGCUGCCCCCCUCCCGGCCAAGGCCAGGGCCCCGUGCCGGCUUUGGCAGAUUUCGGGUGGCCUUCAGUGAGCUGGCGCCGCCCGCUCUGGGAGUCCCCACCCUGCUUCCUCGCCAGGAACCCCAAGCAGGGCCCACUUCCCUCUUCUUUGCACCCCAAGGAACCCCAGCGCUGCCUGGACCUGGGACUGUCUCUCCAGCGUCCUGCUAAGCAAACACCAGUGUGGCAUUUCAAGGUGACAGGUAAACACAGGAAUCCAAAACAAAGUUAAUCUGAUCAGCCAGGAUCAAUAGAGAAGGGAGUGAAGAUCCGAAGUUCUUUGAAGCUGGUAAAGGCAGGGGAAUAAUCCUUGCAAACAAUGGAGACCUUUAAUUCACAGGCUCCAGCUCCGAGUGCCAUUGUGUGGUGGAUUUGCUGGGCUUCAGGUUUUCCCUGGGACUGCGAGCAGGUGCAGCCGCAGAGCCGAAGUCCCCGUGUGGACCCCCUGGCCGCCCUGGCCAGUGGAAGUCACCAUUAAUCCAGCUUUGUGCACUGACAAUGGAGACUGCACACACGGGCCUUCCCCUAUAUGGCUUUACUCCAGGGCCUUUCUCUUACCUGGGCACUGGCUAUCCCAAGGAAGACACAUGGAAACCAACAAGGCAAGUUCAGUUUCACAUCUGAAAAUCAAGCAUGCACAGAGAGAAUUCUGACCUGAAGCCACGUGGACAGCACUCGAGGGGCAGCUAGGGUACGAGCACACCAGGCCUGGAGCGCAGGACACCGAGCUCUCUGCCGGGACCCAGCCCACCCUCACCUGUGUGGGCAGCAGGCUCAUCCAGGCCUCUGCAUCUGCACCUCCCACCAGAGUCUAAGAACAGCACCCUCCAGAGAGAGCCGUCCAGGACAGCCUGACUCAGAGGUCACCCAGAUGUGACAGCUCCAGCUGAGUCUCUGGCAUCUGGAGGAGGUGGGGAGGAACCACGAGGCAUCCAGGGCAGAUUUGCUCUUGGCAGGGCCUUGCUGCUCCUCUGUCCUCCUUCUGACCAAAAACUCCCCUCCCCUGCAUGGUCCCUUCAACUUUCCCUGGCCUCACUGGGUAAAUAUUUCCUAUCACAACCAUGCACACGAUACGGGCUCCCUUCUCACUCCCAGGAGUGGCAGAGAACUUGUAGAGAUGGAGCCCUACUGGUAUGCGCACGAGUGGGCAGAGAGGCUCUCCUUGCAGCAGGCUUCGCUGGCCGUGGAGUGUGGGAAGGCCAGGCGCUCCCCGAGCCGAGGACAGUGUUGCUGUGAGGAGAGCUGGGACACUCGUGGGCUUUCCCGCUGUUGCAGGAGAUCCUCCUUCACAGUGGCUUCUCACCUUCCCCAGUCCACAGCGGACACUCCCUGGUGUCCACAGAGAGCUGGGCACUGCUGUCCUCUGGUAAAACAGAGGCCCUGAGCUUGCUGCCAGGAACUCAGAACAGGAGACAGCAAGGGCGAUGCUGCCUGCGGAGGAUAAUGGGAUUUAUUAAGGCCAUUCAUCCUGAAGUCACAUGGAAAGUGCCACGUUUGAAUGAUGAAACGCAAGCCUGAAUAUCCAAAAAGCACUAGAACUCCCUUCCCAGGAAAACUGCCUUUCAAACCUUUAAAAUGAUGCCCUUUAAGGAGAACACAAACUAUCCCUGUGAUGUAGCCAUAAAGCAGAAGUAGAAAACACAACAGCUCAAUUUAAGAAAAUGUGAAAAUUACAUGGCCCUGGUGAAAUCCCAGACACAGAGUCAAGUGAAAACAGCUGUGGAUACAAAGGCCAUGUGGACAGUGGGAGGCUAGGUGUCUCGAGGGGGCGAGGAAGGAAUUCUGGCUGUGGAGCCCCUGUGCACUUGCGGAGGGCCAGUCACGUCGCAUGCUGCUGGCACUGAGCAGGUGUUGGUCACUUAGAUGACACCGGUGGCUGAAGCCCCCAACACUGUGCUGACCGAUGGGAGCAGGACUCAGACAGGAGCACAGGCAGACCUGCAGGAAGACCCUAUGGCACAGGAAGCAGAAGAGCCAGUCACCACGUGCUGCAAGUGUGGUGGCUCCUGUGAGCCUCCGGGUUGGUGAGGAUGAGACAGAGCAGGCACAGACUGCGCACAUCUCCGCCUCCUCGGCACCUGUGAAAGCCGGGCUGGUGAAUGCGUCCUCUCCAGCUCUCUCUCUCUGACAUUGCACUGGCAUGAGACAGAAAUUCUAUGCAGGAAUCAGGGUCCUCGUUCAGAUAAACGCACCCCACCCUGUCCAGAGUCACCGGCGGGUGGACAUAGGGCGGAGCUUCCACAAACAGGAAGCAACACGGCCAACCACGGGUGUCUGCAAGCAUUGACCCCUGGCUGUGUGCUGGCCCUGUUCUGGAGUGAGAGCCCUGCUAAGGCAGGCCCUCUAGCUGCCCGCGGUCGACCUGGCUGGAUGGGGGGACUUAAGGGACCUGUUCUAGCUGUGCCAGCCCCACGGGCUGCUCUCCCCGGGGACAGCUUCGCAGCCUGUCAGUUGCACCAGCGGCCGCCUCUGCAGCCCAAGGCACCCGACUGAACGCCCUCAAGUCCCAGUCAGAAGAAAAACUAUGCCUGGGAGAAAACGCAAGAUGAGUACGACUCCUCUUGCUUUAAUUAAGUUUGAUCGGAGGUUGUGCUGCAUCUAGGAAAGCCAGAGCCAAUUUUCGCAGUGUGGUUUGCAAAGCAAAGGCGUGUCUUCGAAGACUACAGGAGAACACAUGUCCUAAACGUGGCCCGGGGUUACCGAGCUGUACCUUCAGGCAGUUCACAUGGAGAGCAAAUGCUCUGCGGCUCCUAGGGGCUCAGGCUCCAAACCAGAGCAAAUCGUCUGCUUUUCAAUUCCUGGCAGCUCAGAUUCUCCUGCUAGCUUGGAAGAUGCCCGGCGUGGGUCCAGCUCCCCAGGGCAGACGUCCGGGACGUGUAAUCUGGAUCCAGGAUCAGAUCUUCGCCAGCUCUCCAGACCACUGCCCUGCUGCCUGUCCUGCAGACCCAAGGUGACCAGUUAGCCUGGAAAGGUGGCAUCAGAGGAGGCCAAACUCAGGACUGAGCACCCGGCAAGGGAGUCAAGAUGGUGGCUGUGGAGGGGCCACCUCAGUUCACUGCUGUGGGAGAGGACAGGAGCAUGCAGAGUCUUCUGCAGAGCAGCGUCAGAGUAGCAUCAAUUUCUUUAAAUUAAAUACAUUAAUUUAAAUUAAUAUGCACAGUUAUUUACUUUCUGCUGAUGGAUGGAAGCAAAGGUCAUGAUUUGUUAAAGAGCUGAUGAAAGUUAAGAGUUUUCCACAAAAAAGUGCAUACAGGGAUACACCAAUAGUUUUGCAUAAAAUAUGCAAACAUAUAUGUAAAAUAAAUUUUUUCUUCUGUAGGGCAGCCAUAAUACUAUAUAUAAAAGACCUAACAAUAAAACAUUGAAAAACACAAGAGAAUUUUGAGAAAUAUGAAAUGAGCUAAAGGAAUACCUAAGUAAUUAAGAAGACAUCCACUUCUCUGGAUGUGAAGAAUCCGUACUGGUGGCCGUGGCGUCGGCAUUGAGCGGGGAGUCUGGUGCAAGAGAUUGUAUGAGAUGGUGUAUGAGAUUUGACAAGGUGUGGGGUGGCAUUCCUGCUGGUGUUCCACAUCAAAUGUCAUGUUUGCUGGGGUAUUCUGUUUUAGGCACAUACAGAUGGGAAUGUGAAGAGACAUAUUCACUACAUACAUUACAUACAUACAUUGUAUUAGUCAGCUUUCUCAUUGAUGCACACAGUACCAAAACCCACAGCUUAAAGGAGGAGAAGUGCAACUUGGCUCAUUUUUUGAAGGGAUUCAAUCCAAGGUCAGCUGGCUCCAAGGCAAGAACAUCAUGGCGGAAGGGUCUGGUGGAGCAAAGAUGCUUCGUUCAUGGUGGCCAGGAAGCUGAGCAGGGGAAUAGGCCAGAGAGGAAGGGUCCUAGGGCCAGAUCUAGAUCCCAAGAGCACACCCCCAUGACCUACUCAGACACAGCUAAAGUGUGUUCCACUUUGGGAUCAGAUCCCAAAGCCAAUCAAGGUGACACCCCACCCUAACCUCUAUAGCUAUGUAUCAACAUACACAUGUAUAUACACAUAAAAGUCAGAUAACAUGGAGAUGGAGGCAAUAAACAGAGAAAGUUGAAAAUCUGCAGCCUAACUCACUUUAUUUGUCAGCUUUCCAGUCACUGGGAUACAAUACUGGACACCAACAAAUUAUAAGGAGGACAGGUUUAAUUUGGCUCAGGGUUUGGGGGAUUCAGUCCACGGUCAGCUGGCUCCAAGGCAGAAAUAUGGUGGAAGGGAUAGCCAAAGAAAGCUGCUGCUCACCGCAUGGCGGCCAGGAAACAGAGAGAGGGGAGGAGCCAGGGACAGCAAUCCACCCUUCCUGGCCACACUCCAGUGACCACCUCCAAUCAGACCCCACCCCCAACAGCACAUUCAUCCAUGAACUUAUCCACGACUAACCUACUGACGAGUACAGUGCUCCUAAGACCCUAUCACCUUCCAAAAGCCCACCUCUGAAUACAUGAGACUUCGGG